UGCAGGUGUGGACUAAUCAAAAAUGGUGGAUGUGCGGUGCAUGCUGGGAAACUGAGUUCAGAACUCCGGGGAGAGGGAACGGGUGAAGCGAGCUGGCGGUGACGACAUGGGGGGCGUGGCCGGUGGUGCUGAAACCGUUACAAUACCUUGUACUACAAUAGUCUAUUCUUAUUUUUUACUUGUACAUAUUUACAUACACACAUAGCUUUACUCUCUAUAUCUUUAUCUUAUGUUUAUUGUAUUGUAUUUCUUAAUUUUUUAUAUCCAUAGGCCCUUAUUUAAAUCAUUGUGUACUGUAUUCUAUUGUGUUAUGGUCUCUGUGUACUGUUGUUGCUGUUUCUGUGUUCUGGAUGCUCCUGUCACCAAAACAAAUUCCUUGUAUGUGCAAACAUACUUGGCAAUAAAGCUCUUUCUGAUUCUGAUUCUGAACUAAAGCAAUGGGAGGAAAUAACGGAAAAAAUAAACCCACGGAAUCUCGAUAUGAAGAGGACGGUUCAGGAGGUCAUAAAAAAUACGAAAACAACUCUGUGGUAGCUAAAAAAGAGCUGAGUCCAACAAAACGGGUGGAGGACCACCCCCGGCCGACUUGUCGGACUGUACCAAAAUUCUGCAAGACAUCCUUGGGGCGGACUCACCUAUUCUAGCUGGCAUUCCUGGCGGAGUAGAGAGCGUAGUUGAGCCAGUGCAACAAUGUAUCACAGAACCUUUACAGCCAUCUGAGGAACAGCAGAUACAGUACCGCCAGAGCACCAGCAGAGCGCAUGCCCAGGCAACAGCUAUAAGACUGCAAACAGUUCCAACAAGAGAAGAAGUGUUGGAACUACAGAGAGAGGUUCUGCAGCUACAAAAAGAAAAACUGCAGCUAGAGAUUGAGAAAAUAAGGAAGAAGGAAAAUCAGGAACAAUAAUUAGCUUACAUAUUCACUUACUACUAAUAAUCAUACACCAAUUACUAAUGUUGCUAUACAGCUACUAAUUAAAGAAUGCAUUGACGAUGGCAUCUCGGGCAGCAUAUCCAGCCUGCUGGAAAUCUUCAUGGAUCGGUUGCACUUCUUCAGGACCCUGUUCUUCCUCGUGCUCAUUCUCCUCUUGGCAGAAUACAUCUUCGAAAUGUUGAAGAGCACAACACAGGCUACAAUAAUUUUGCAAGCCCUUUAAUUGAGGCUCGACACACAGCUCGCUGUGGAGGCAGUGAAACCUGCAUUUCAGCUGUCCGAUGAUCCUCUCUAUUAUCGACCUUGCGUGAGUCAAAGCAUUGUUGUAUCUUUCCUACAGGGGAAAAUCCAUGAUCGGCAUCAGUACCAACACGAAAGUAAAUUAGUGGUCGACAAGGUGCAAAUGUGUUACAAAAAAUCAUACUUUAAGUUUUUUUACUAUUGGAUUAAGAUUUUUGCAAACCUUACAUACGCAUGCAAAUAUUUUAGGCACCAAAGUUACAUUCGUAAAAAACAGACAUAACAGACAUAAGAAUUUAUAAUUGACAUGCCUGACAUGCAGCAUUAAGAGGAUUCAUGAAGGGUGUCAUGAGCCAAGGUCGGCAGGGGUAUCACUGUCCCUGAGUAGGAGACCAGUAUGCAUUCCAGCUUCCAAAUCUCUCCCAAUCUUGCUCUCAGCCAAAAUUCUAGAGUCGUGUGUACUCCCGGGCCACAAUGCAACGACAUUUGUAAUUCUGCACAGAUGGUCACACACUAACUGCACAUUUAUUGAAUGGUAGUUUUUUCUGUUGAUGUACUGAUAUUCGUGUGUCUGGGGUGCCUGUAUUCUGAUGUGUGUUCUGUCAAUUACACCAUUAUUCGAGGAAAACCUGAUUUCCAAAAAAACUGGUUUGAAUGACCUCUUGUUCGCAUCGAGAUGGAUACUUGACAGUUUGGUUUAAAUGACGGCAAAGAGCCCCUGUAAUCCGGUGAACCACUCUACUGACAAAAGACUUGUGUACAUGGAAAACAUCUCCCACGACAGACUGGAAACUCCCAGUUGCAAAAAAACGCAGUGCUAUUAACAGUUGUAACACCGGAGGAAGUGAGUGGUUACACUGUAACAUGGUCAAGGUCGCCCUCAAUUUUUUAAACUAUUUCAAGUAUCCCGCAGCGAUCAAAUCGGUAAUCCUUCAACAAUUUUUCAUCGCUAAGACAAUUCAAAGGGUUUUCCCUGUCGAAAAAUAGUCGCCUUGGCACAUAAUCUUCUUCAUCGAGUUCCAUAAACUCAGCCAUUUUUGUCCAUCAAACACUUAAGGUUACCCUUUUCAGCCCUUAAGUAAAACAUAUGGAAACUGACUUUGUGCAACCGGGCACAGCUCCUCUUCUGUGGUGAAGUCUUGGGUUGGAGGGCCACCCCCUGUGCCAGAUACAUGAGCCUUAUUUUUAAAUGCUGAAAUCAGUACAGACAGUAAAAUGUAAUAGCAGACACUAUCUACCUAAUUUGUAAAAGAUUUUUCAGCAAUCAAGUCAAUUACUCAACUCUCAACUCAACUUUGUUUAUAUAACGCUUUUUACCAUUUUCAUUGUUACAAAGCAGCUGUACAUGAGACAUAUUGACUAUAAGCAAAACAAUUAAAGUUGUACCUGUAAAAACUCCACACACACAAUAUGCACACGUACUAACACACAUAGACACGGACGCGCACGCACACAGACAUGCACGCACAGUGAAAGCAAACAUUUAAGAUAAAGGAGAGAGAAGCACAGGUCAAAUAUAACAGACUAUAAAUUCCUAUAUGCAAUAUUAAUUAAGUAAAACUUUAAAAUUCUAAAGCAGCCCCCCGGCCAGGCAAAUAGUGCAAAAACAGUAUGCAAACGGUGGCGAGGAACCCAAAACUCUAAUCGAGAAAAAAACCUCAUGAGAACUCAGGCCCAAUCAGGGGAUUCCAGUUCCCCUCUGGCAAAAGCUGCUGCCUCUGCACAAGCUCCACAGUGCUUGCACAACAAGGCUAAAUAAAAAUAAAUACAUUUACUAAUAAGGUAAAUUAUAGAUUUAAGAUUUUCAUUAAUAAUCUGAUAGCCUUUGAAAUUUUGUAAUGAAGACGUGUCAAGUGACCGCGUCCUUCUUUAUCCAGCUCUAUCAUCUCAGCUCUUGUCAGGUUGCCGCUUCCCAUUCUCUGCUCUACCAUCAGGUCUGGCCAUGAA